UACUCUUGACAUCCAGAGAACUUAGCAGAGAUGCUUUGGUGCCUUCGGGAACUCUGAGACAGGUGCUGCAUGGCUGUCGUCAGCUCGUGUUGUGAAAUGUUGGGUUAAGUCCCGCAACGAGCGCAACCCUUAUCCUUUGUUGCCAGCGGUUCGGCCGGGAACUCAAAGGAGACUGCCAGUGAUAAACUGGAGGAAGGUGGGGAUGACGUCAAGUCAUCAUGGCCCUUACGAGUAGGGCUACACACGUGCUACAAUGGCGUAUACAAAGAGAAGCGACCUCGCGAGAGCAAGCGGACCUCAUAAAGUACGUCGUAGUCCGGAUUGGAGUCUGCAACUCGACUCCAUGAAGUCGGAAUCGCUAGUAAUCGUAGAUCAGAAUGCUACGGUGAAUACGUUCCCGGGCCUUGUACACACCGCCCGUCACACCAUGGGAGUGGGUUGCAAAAGAAGUAGGUAGCUUAACCUU
rnacentral:rRNA from 1 species